rnacentral:tRNA from 1 species
GCCUCCCUAGCUCAUCGGGUAGAGCGCCGCCCUCGUAAGGCGGAGGCGGGCGGUUCGAGACCGCCGGGAGGCUCCA